CAUGAAGCUGGAAUCGCUAGUAAUCGCGAAUCAGAAUGUCGCGGUGAAUACGUUCCCGGGUCUUGUACACACCGCCCGUCACACCAUGGGAGUCGGAAAUGCCCGAAGUCUGUGACCCAACCUGAGAGGGAGGGAGCGGCCGAAGGCAGGUCUGAUGACUGGGGUGAAGUCGUAACAAGGUAGC
rnacentral:rRNA from 1 species